rnacentral:rRNA from 1 species
UAGCCUUGACAUACUACAGAAUUUGACAGAGAUGUUGAAGUGCCUUCGGGAGCUGUAAUACAGGUGCUGCACGGCUGUCGUCAGCUCGUGUCGUGAGAUGUUGGGUUAAGUCCCGCAACGAGCGCAACCCUCGUCCUUAGUUACUAACGGUUCGGCCGAGGACUCUAAGGAGACUGCCUUCGUAAGGAGGAGGAAGGUGAGGACGACGUCAAGUCAUCAUGGCCCUUAUGGCUAGGGCUACACACGUGCUACAAUGGGGCGUACAGAGUGUUGCGAUACCGCGAGGUGGAGCUAAUCACUUAAAGCGUCUCUCAGUUCGGAUAGCAGUCUGCAACUCGACUGCUUGAAGCUGGAAUCACUAGUAAUCGUAGAUCAGCAAUGCUACGGUGAAUACGUUCCCGGGUCU